rnacentral:tRNA from 1 species
AAGAUACUAGUUAAAUCCCCAUAACACUGCUUUGUCAGGGCAGAAUCGUGAGUUAAAUUCUCACGUAUCUUG